UACGGAGGGUGCAAACGUUGCUCGGAAUCAUUGGGCGUAAAGCGCACGUAGGCGGUCGGCUAUGUCGGAUGUGAAAGCCUCGGGCUUAACCCGAGAAGGGCAUCCGAAACUGGCCGGCUUGAGUACGGAAGAGGGUCUCGGAAUUCCCGGUGUAGAGGUGAAAUUCGUAGAUAUCGGGAGGAACACCGGUGGCGAAGGCGGCGACCUGGGUCGAUACUGACGCUGAGGUGCGAAAGCGUGGGGAGCAAACAGG
rnacentral:rRNA from 1 species